CCCAACUAUCCCUAUUAAUCAUUACGUCGAUCUUAGAAACCAACAAAAUAAGAUCAAACGUCCUAUUUCAUUAUUCCAUGCUAAUGUAUUCAAGCGAAUGCCUGCUUUAAACACUCUAAUUUUUUCAAAGUAACAGUCCUGAUUUCCCACGAUGUCAUUAAUUUGGUGUCGUGGUUCGUCAGAAGGGAGAAACCGACAGGGCCAGUACACACCAGAGGCGCGACCGACCCGUCGAUCCCGAAAUUCAACUACGAGCUUUUUAACUGCAACAACUUUAAUAUACGCUAUUGGAGCUGGAAUUACCGCGGCUGCUGGCACCAGACUUGCCCUCCAA
rnacentral:misc_RNA from 1 species